rnacentral:lncRNA from 1 species
AUACAUUUGCCAUUGUGCGUUGGUACUAUCCCAUACAAACUUCUUAGGCUGUUCAUCGUAUAUGUAAAGUUUGGCAAAAUCAGGUCUAAACUUAUCAACCAUUGGAGUAGUUUUUUUUUUUUUUUGGUCUCAUUUGGUAAAUGAAAAAAUCACAUUUAUAGAAGAGAUGCACCAUAAACGGUUCAGGGCACUAUUUUGUUUGGGCCAGUCCGAUUAAUACUCUCUUUGUAGAGAUGCCUAUUUAUUAAAAGAAAUUUUUUAAAAAAUCACAAUGUGUUUUACAUACGG